GUGCCUAAUACAUGCAAGUAGAACGCUGAAGACUUUAGCUUGCUAAAGUUGGAAGAGUUGCGAACGGGUGAGUAACGCGUAGGUAACCUGCCUACUAGCGGGGGAUAACUAUUGGAAACGAUAGCUAAUACCGCAUAACAGCAUUUAACACAUGUUAGAUGCUUGAAAGGAGCAAUUGCUUCACUAGUAGAUGGACCUGCGUUGUAUUAGCUAGUUGGUGAGGUAACGGCUCACCAAGGCGACGAUACAUAGCCGACCUGAGAGGGUGAUCGGCCACACUGGGACUGAGACACGGCCCAGACUCCUACGGGAGGCAGCAGUAGGGAAUCUUCGGCAAUGGGGGCAACCCUGACCGAGCAACGCCGCGUGAGUGAAGAAGGUUUUCGGAUCGUAAAGCUCUGUUGUAAGAGAAGAACGUGUGUGAGAGUGGAAAGUUCACACAGUGACGGUAACUUACCAGAAAGGGACGGCUAACUACGUGCCAGCAGCCGCGGUAAUACGUAGGUCCCGAGCGUUGUCCGGAUUUAUUGGGCGUAAAGCGAGCGCAGGCGGUUUAAUAAGUCUGAAGUUAAAGGCAGUGGCUUAACCAUUGUUCGCUUUGGAAACUGUUAGACUUGAGUGCAGAAGGGGAGAGUGGAAUUCCAUGUGUAGCGGUGAAAUGCGUAAAUAUAUGGAGGA
rnacentral:rRNA from 1 species